GAUGAACUCUGGCGGCGUGCUUAACACAUGCAAGUCGAGCGAAGCACCUUGACGGAUUUCUUCGGAUUGAAGCCUUGGUGACUGAGCGGCGGACGGGUGAGUAACGCGUGGGUAACCUGCCUCAUACAGGGGGAUAACAGUUGGAAACGGCUGCUAAUACCGCAUAAGCGCACAGUACCGCAUGGUACGGUGUGAAAAACUCCGGUGGUAUGAGAUGGACCCGCGUCUGAUUAGGUAGUUGGUGGGGUAACGGCCUACCAAGCCGACGAUCAGUAGCCGACCUGAGAGGGUGACCGGCCACAUUGGGACUGAGACACGGCCCAAACUCCUACGGGAGGCAGCAGUGGGGAAUAUUGCACAAUGGGGGAAACCCUGAUGCAGCGACGCCGCGUGAGCAAUGAAGUAUUUCGGUAUGUAAAGCUCUAUCAGCAGGGAAGAAAAUGACGGUACCUGACUAAGAAGCCCCGGCUAACUACGUGCCAGCAGCCGCGGUAAUACGUAGGGGGCAAGCGUUAUCCGGAUUUACUGGGUGUAAAGGGAGCGUAGACGGCAUGGCAAGCCAGAUGUGAAAGCCCGGGGCUCAACCCCGGGACUGCAUUUGGAACUGUCAGGCUAGAGUGUCGGAGAGGAAAGCGGAAUUCCUAGUGUAGCGGUGAAAUGCGUAGAUAUUAGGAGGAACACCAGUGGCGAAGGCGGCUUUCUGGACGGUGACUGACGUUGAGGCUCGAAAGCGUGGGGAGCAAACAGGAUUAGAUACCCUGGUAGUCCACGCCGUAAACGAU
rnacentral:rRNA from 1 species